rnacentral:rRNA from 1 species
GACGAACGCUGGCGGCGUGCUUAAUACAUGCAAGUCAACUGAACUUGAAGUAGCAAUAUUUCAAGGGAGGUGGCGCACGGGUGAGUAACACGUAGGUAAUCUGCCUUUAGGUCUGACAUAAUUCCGCGAAAGCGGGACUAACUUCAGAUGAUGCAGCGGCUCGACAUCGAGACAGUUGUUAAAUCUUCGGAGCCUAAAGAUGAGCCUGCGUCUGAUUAGGUAGUUGGCGGAGUAAAAGCCCACCAAGCCUGCGAUCAGUAGCUGGUCUGAGAGGAUGAUCAGCCACACUGGAACUGAGACACGGUCCAGACUCCUACGGGAGGCAGCAGUAAGGAAUAUUGCUCAAUGGCCGAAAGGCUGAAGCAGCAACGCCGCGUGGAGGAUGAAAUACUUUUGUAUGUAAACUCCUGUAAGAAGGGAAAAUAUUUCGAUUUAUCGGAAUUGAUUGUACCUUCAGAGUAAGCCCGGCUAACUACGUG